rnacentral:lncRNA from 1 species
UAAAGAUGGAGGUAUGUCAUGUGGCAACCUCGCCACUGCAUGCAUUUGUGUAGACCUAGCUGGUUACAUGGCCUCUUGAUGCAAUCCAGAGACAAGGUCUUUGGCAUAACCUUCCAUCGCAGGCAGAGAGUUAGCCUUGCUGGCUGGGGCCAAUCGACAGCUAAGACAGGGACCGGUAAGUAUACCCUAGAAUGUCUUUGGGAGAAACUGUUGAAGUCGCAGACUUAACAUCCUUUUAU